GACGAACGCUGGCGGCGUGCCUAAUACAUGCAAGUCGAGCGGACGGACGGUAGCUUGCUCCCAGUCCGGCAGCGGCGGACGGGUGAGUAACACGUUGGCAACCUGCCUGUAAGACUGUGAGAACUCCGGGAAAGCGGGGCUAACACCGAAGAACUCUUUCCCUCGCAUGAGGGAAAGCUGAAAGAGGGCAUCGCGCGAUCGCUUACAGAUGUGCCGGCGGCGCAUUAGCUAGUUGGUGAGGUAACGGCUCACCAAGGCGACGAUGCGUAGCCGACCUGAGAGGGUGAUCAGCCACACUGGGACUGAGACACGGCCCAGACUCCUACGGGAGGCAGCAGUAGGGAAUCUUGCGCAAUGGGCGCAAGUCUGACCGAGCAACGCCGCGUGAGUGAUGAAGGUUUUCGGGUCGUAAAACUCUGUUGUCGGGGAAGAAAAAGUACCGGAGUAACUGCCGGUAUUUUGACGGUACCUAAACAAAAAGCACCGGCUAACUACGUG
rnacentral:rRNA from 1 species